rnacentral:rRNA from 1 species
UACGUAGGGUGCAAGCGUUGUUCGGAAUCACUGGGCGUAAAGAGCGCGUAGGCGGUCUGUCAAGUCCCCUGUGAAAGCCCCCGGCUUAACCGGGGAACUGCAUGGGAUACUGUUGGGCUAGAGUGCAGGAGGGGAGAGCGGAAUUCCUGGUGGAGCGGUGAAAUGCGUAGAUAUCAGGAGGAACGCCGGCGGCGAAAGCGACUCUCUGGCCUGUAACUGACGCUGAGGCGCGAAAGCGAGGGGAGCAAACGGG